UGGGGAAUCUUGGACAAUGGGGGCAACCCUGAUCCAGCCAUGCCGCGUGAUCGAUGAAGGCCUUAGGGUUGUAAAGAUCUUUCAGCGAGGAAGAUAAUGACGGUACUCGCAGAAGAAGCCCCGGCUAACUCCGUGCCAGCAGCCGCGGUAAUACGGUGGGGGCUAGCGUUGUUCGGAAUUACUGGGCGUAAAGCGCACGUAGGCGGAUAGUUAAGUUAGAGGUGAAAGCCCUGGGCUCAACCCCGGAACUGCCUUUGAUACUGUCUGUCUGGAGGUCGAGAGGGGUGAGUGGAAUUCCGAGUGUAGAGGUGAAAUUCGUAGAUAUUCGGAGGAACACCAGUGGCGAAGGCGGCUCACUGGCUCGAUACUGACGCUGAGGUGCGAAAGCGUGGGGAGCAAACA
rnacentral:rRNA from 1 species